UUUCGCGAGGGGCAGAGCCCGCCUCUCCCUAGGACCUUGACCUCGUGCGGACCUCGCCGCCACGUUUAGCUCUAGCUCUCCCUGACCUGCUUUUAAACCUGCUAAUCCCGGCCGGGACUCUCACCCCGCGGAGAUCCCUCGCCCCAGCCCCGCGCUCUAAUUCCCGUUGACCGCCCAGUGCGGGAGACGAAAGUUCUGGGCCUCCGAGCGGUGAUCGGGUGCGCAACCGGGUCCGUCCCGCUUCGGCCGUGACCACACUCCAAGGCCCGAUCCAAGCACACAGCCUCCAGCUACAAACUGCCGUCCUGUUUCUUCGGUUCCUCCCAGUUUAUUCCAUUUGUUGCUCUAAGCAACCCAAAGAUCGAAAUCUUUGGUAACACACGGAAGUGGAGACGCUGCGGUGCUGCAGGGACCUUCCCCGCUGCGGCCGGCAGUAGGAAGCGGACGGAGGACGCGGCUGCCAGGAGCGAGCGCCACUGGCCAGCAAGGGGAAAAGGCUGGAAGAGCAGUGGGCAA
rfam:Fukomys damarensis contig148198, whole genome shotgun sequence.